UACGUAGGGUGCGAGCGUUGUCCGGAAUUAUUGGGCGUAAAGGGCUCGUAGGCGGUCUGUUGCGUCGGGAGUGAAAACUCAGGGCUUAACCCUGAGCCUGCUUCCGAUACGGGCAGACUAGAGGUAUGCAGGGGAGAACGGAAUUCCUGGUGUAGCGGUGAAAUGCGCAGAUAUCAGGAGGAACACCGGUGGCAAAGGCGGUUCUCUGGGCAUUACCUGACGCUGAGGAGCGAAAGUGUGGGGAGCGAACAGG
rnacentral:rRNA from 1 species